GUGCCAGCAGCCGCGGUAAUACGUAGGUGGCGAGCGUUAUCCGGAUUUACUGGGCGUAAAGAGUGCGUAGGCGGUUCUUUAAGUCGGAUGUGAAAUCUCCCGGCUUAACCCGGAGGGGUCAUUAGAAACUGUUGGACUAGAGGACAGCAGAGGGAGGUGGAAUUCCCGGUGUAGUGGUGAAAUGCGUAGAUAUCGGGAGGAACACCAGUGGCGAAGGCGGCCUCCUGGGCUGUUUCUGACGCUGAGGCUCGAAAGUGUGGGGAGCGAACAGGAUUAGAUACCCUGGUAGUCCACACUGUAAACGAUGGACACUAGGUAUGGGGAGUAUCGACCCUCUCUGUGCCGAAGCUAACGCUUUAAGUGUCCCGCCUGGGGACUACGGCCGCAAGGCUAAAACUUAAAUGAAUUGACGGGG
rnacentral:rRNA from 1 species